ACGCGUAUGCAAUCUACCUCUUACUGAGGGAUAGCCCAUGGAAACGUGGAUUAAUACCUCAUAGUAUUAUAGACUGGCCUCAGUUUAUGAUUAAAGGUUACGGUAAGAGAUGAGCAUGCGUCCUAUUAGCUAGAUGGUAAGGUAACGGCUUACCAUGGCUACGAUAGGUAGGGGUCCUGAGAGGGAGAUCCCCCACACUGGUACUGAGACACGGACCAGACUCCUACGGGAGGCAGCAGUGAGGAAUAUUGGACAAUGGGCGAGAGCCUGAUCCAGCCAUGCCGCGUGCAGGAAGACGGCCCUAUGGGUUGUAAACUGCUUUUACAGAGGAAGAACCCUCCUUACGUGUAAGGAGCUGACGGUACUCUAUGAAUAAGGAUCGGCUAACUCCGUGCCAGCAGCCGCGGUAAUACGGAGGAUCCAAGCGUUAUCCGGAAUCAUUGGGUUUAAAGGGUCCGUAGGCGGGUCUAUAAGUCAGUGGUGAAAGUCUGCAGCUUAACUGUAGAACUGCCAUUGAUACUGUAGACCUUGAAUUAGUAUGAAGUGGUUAGAAUGUGUAG
rnacentral:rRNA from 1 species